rnacentral:rRNA from 1 species
AUCCAGCCAUGCCGCGUGUGUGAAGAAGGCCUUUUGGUUGUAAAGCACUUUAAGCGAGGAGGAGGCGCUCUAGGUUAAUACCUUAGAAGCGUGGACGUUACUCGCAGAAUAAGCACCGGCUAACUCUGUGCCAGCAGCCGCGGUAAUACAGAGGGUGCGAGCGUUAAUCGGAUUUACUGGGCGUAAAGCGUACGUAGGCGGCUUUUUAAGUCGGAUGUGAAAUACCCCGAGCUUAACUUGGGAAUUGCAUUCGAUACUGGGAAGCUAGAGUAUGGGAGAGGAUGGUAGAAUANCGCAGGUGUAGCGGUGAAAUGCGUAGAGAUCUGGAGGAAUACCGAUGGCGAAGGCAGCCAUCUGGCCUAAUACUGACGCUGAGGUACGAAAGCAUGGGGAGCAAACAGGAUUAGAUACCCUGGUAGUCCAUGCCGUAAACGAUGUCUACUAGCCGUUGGGGCCUUUGAGGCUUUAGUGGCGCAGCUAACGCGAUAAGUAGACCGCCUGGGGAGUACGGUCGCAAGACUAUAACUCAAAUGAAUUGACGGGGGCNCGCACAAGCGGUGGAGCAUGUGGU